AACGCUAGCUACAGGCUUAACACAUGCAAGUCGAGGGGCAUCACGGUGUAGCAAUACACUGGUGGCGACCGGCGCACGGGUGAGUAACACGUAUCCAACCUUCCCUUUACUCCGGGAUAGCCCAUCGAAAGAUGGAUUAACACCGGAUGGUUUCGCGUGAUUGCAUGAUAUCGCGAAUAAAGUUUUACGGUAAAGGAUGGGGAUGCGUUCCAUUAGCUUGUUGGCGGGGUAACGGCCCACCAAGGCUACGAUGGAUAGGGGUUCUGAGAGGAAGGUCCCCCACAUUGGAACUGAGACACGGUCCAAACUCCUACGGGAGGCAGCAGUGAGGAAUAUUGGUCAAUGGGCGCGAGCCUGAACCAGCCAAGUAGCGUGAAGGAUGACUGCCCUACGGGUUGUAAACUUCUUUUAUAAAGGAAUAAAGUGGCUUACGUGUAGGCCAUUGCAUGUACUUUAUGAAUAAGCAUCGGCUAACUCCGUGCCAGCAGCCGCGGUAAUACGGAGGAUGCGAGCGUUAUCCGGAUUUAUUGGGUUUAAAGGGAGCGCAGACGGGCGUUUAAGUCAGUUGUGAAAGUUCGCGGCUCAACCGCGGAAUUGCAGUUGAAACUGGAUGCCUUGAGUGCGGUUGAGGCAGGCGGAAUUCGUGGUGUAGCGGUGAAAUGCUUAGAUAUCACGAAGAACUCCGAUUG
rnacentral:rRNA from 1 species